UGGGGAAUAUUGGACAAUGGGCGAAAGCCUGAUCCAGCAAUGCCGCGUGAGUGAUGAAGGCCUUAGGGUUGUAAAGCUCUUUUACCCGGGAUGAUAAUGACAGUACCGGGAGAAUAAGCUCCGGCUAACUCCGUGCCAGCAGCCGCGGUAAUACGGAGGGAGCUAGCGUUGUUCGGAAUUACUGGGCGUAAAGCGCGCGUAGGCGGUUUUUCAAGUCAGAGGUGAAAGCCCGGGGCUCAACCCCGGAAUUGCCUUUGAAACUGGAAGACUUGAAUCUUGGAGAGGUCAGUGGAAUUCCGAGUGUAGAGGUGAAAUUCGUAGAUAUUCGGAAGAACACCAGUGGCGAAGGCGACUGACUGGACAAGUAUUGACGCUGAGGUGCGAAAGCGUGGGGAGCAAACAGG
rnacentral:rRNA from 1 species